rnacentral:antisense_RNA from 1 species
GCCGCCGCCGCCGGGCACCCAGCCCCAGGGGGGCGGGCUGGAGGGAGGGGGCGGGCGCUGGCGGGGGGACCCCCGCAACCAUGGCGGGCGGGGAGUGGGCUGCCGAGCCGCUUCACCUGCCGCAGAGGGGGCGGCCGGCGCCGCUUCACCUGCCGGAGCGGGAGGCCACCGAGGCGAGGCCGAGGCGGCGGCGCGCUCGGCGGCGCCUCCGGGUCCUAGAACCGCAUCCUCCCGCUCGCCUCGGGCGAGGGAUUGGCCGGGUCUGGGUGAGGGGGGUCACGGCUUGGGGAUCGGAGGGGCACAUCUUCUCCGCACCGAGGAUCUCAGCGACUGCGAGCACGGCUCGGAGACCCACGGUGGUGCAGCGUUGGCGCGCCAGGGCUGCGUUCCCGUCUCGGGUCCCGGACUGAGAAGAAAUACUUUCAGAGCUCUUUCAUUCAUCCUGACAAUGGCCAGAGAAGAGCCACUGACAAGACUUUAAGCAAGAGACGGAAAGUUAACAUCUAAUCUGGAGGAAGACCCUGGAAGGAGCCAGCCCCUUCCCCCAGGCUGACCUGGUUUAAGCCUUUCUUCUGCUAAGGUCACCAGCACCCCAGAUGGGUGAGAGAUGUGAUCACUGGUUUCAUGGCCUGACCAAGGACCUCCAAGG